CUCCCGACAUCCUCACUUUUAACCACUAAGAGGGCUUUAACAUCCCUGAACUCAUCUUCCCCAAACACACACAGACCCCAAAACUUCAUGGUAUAAUGCAACCGUUUUGUGAUGCUUACAGGCUCAGGGACUUGGACAAGUACAUCAGGGAGAGCACGUCUCUGCUCUGUGCUGUCUGGGGCCUCAGCUGAAGGGCCUAAAGGCUGAGCUGACUCGAGGGCAGGGUGCUGGAAUCGUCUGCUGGCAGCUGAUCCCGGCUGAGACCUGGGUUGUUGACUCCAGACCUCGUUGUGCAGCUGGGGCUUCCUCACGUCGUGGCACCUCUGGUCACCGGUGUCUCACGGGGUGGCUUCAGGGCUGAGUGGGAGCUAACAGGACUGAGUCACACACCCUCGUCUGAGGGGCAGAGUCCCUGCUGCUGCAUUCUGCUGGUGGCACAAAGCUGCCCAGAUUCAGGCACAGACCCUCUCUCUCCACGAGAGGGGAGUCAGAGCACUUGUGGGCAUGUUUACAACUCCACGUGGAGGGCAUCGAUACCUGGCCAUGCCUGCCGCACCCCCCCACCCCCCCCGGGCCAUGGGAAGCUGGGACAGUGAGUGUGGAACGCUAACGGGACAACUCAGACUCAGGUUAGCGCUGACCUCAGCAGCCCAUCACUGCCUCUUGGCCAAAAGAAAAAACUUUCCCCCUAUUUAUUUAUUUAGGCUGUGCUGGAUCUCAGUUGCCACACACGGGCUUUUCCAGCUGUGGCAUGAGUACUUAGUCGCAGUAUGUGAGGCCUUCAUUCCCUGAACAGGGCUUGGACCCUGGCCCCUCCACUGGCAGAGCAGCGUCUCAGUCACUGGUCAGCAGGGGAAGCCCGUUGGCAGGGUCUGGGGUGCUGGUCCGGGAGGACACGCUCCUGGUGGCCAGCAGGGGGCGCCCAGCAGCCCUUGGCGUCCCCAGGUUAGCAGCGGGCAGGAGAGGGUGCCUCUCUGGACACCGUCUGCCUCCACUGCCCAGCAAGGAGCCCUCGAGGGGGCCCCAGCUGUGUCCACACCCCUCCCUACGGACUCCAAAUAGGCUGUCGCUGGUUUUCCUUGCUUCUCACCGGCUGCGCCAGCUCCACGAGCCCCCUGGGGCCACACCCCAGGCGGGGCUCCGGCACUGGCUUUGCAACCUGGCGGGUCGCGAGCUGGGACAAACCACACCCCUGGUCUGGACUUUGGGCUUCCCCAGAGGUGUGGGCUGUGAUCCCGAGGCCUGUGUGCAGGUGUUUGAAGCAUCAGAUCGUUCUCUCUGGCUGUCCCAGCUCUCAGCUGCAGCACGCGGGGUCUCGUUCCCCGAUCGGGGGUCGCACUCAGCCUUGUCGCCGCUGGGCCACCAGAGAAGUCCUGCGGCGUCAGCAAGAAAGACAGAAAGAAAACACAGCCUGUGGCAGCCAUCCAGAACCAGGGCCUUCAGAGGCAGAGGGGAGAGCGAGGCCUUGGGGCAUGGAGUUGCCGGGAGGGACCACUUUUCAGGGAAUCGGCCGUUAAACUUCUCAGGACUCGGGGGAGCCUGGCCUUGGGUGCAGCCUGGUGACCUGAUGGCACAGGCCUGUGGGCUGAGCACUGUGUGACACUAUGGGCACCAAGCAGGCUGUGAUGGCACUGGGGGGCACCCUGGCGGCUCAGCCCUUCCGUGGCCCCCUUGCCUUAUCCGCUCUCUGUACCUGGGCACCGCUUCAGUUUCCCUGCUCUGGACCUCUUACCGUGCCUGUCUCCUGAAUCCUCCUUUCUGGGCCCAGACAGUUGAAGAGAUGGCCCCAAAUGGCAGUGCCACCAGCUUUCUGACCUGGCAGACUGCCACCACCUGGAUGCCACUGUCCAGGCCCCAGCCUGGGAUGGACCUCUGAUGGGCUGACAUUUGCCAAGUCAGGCCCAGACUGAACAAAACAGAAGCUUCAAUCCCAACUCUGCCUUUCUCUCUGUGUGACGACGGGCGAGACACAGAUCUUUCUGAACCUCAAUGUUCUCAUCUGCAAAAUGGAAAAUACACUAAUAAAGCUGUAAUAAGUCGUGGGGGUGAAUCCUGU
ensembl:lncRNA